CUUUAUUCGGUUAUUCUUUUACUGUCUAAUUAGUUAUCCAGCGAUUUCUGAUAUAUGUGGCAGGUUACACGAAAGAGACGAGAUGAUUUUCCAGCAACUCUGGGCCUCAUGAGGGAGGAUCAGGCUGGUUACACCAUCCAGCUUCUUUGGGUUGAUACGAUUUGCAUCACCUAACCUUGUGUCUGGGGUCAAGACAACAUAAGGACUGACAACACCGCUGUGGUCACAUACGUUGGUCAGAGAAGAUUACUCUCUCACCCCCUGUGCAGGUCAGUGAGACAUGUUCUUUGGAUGCAGACCAGGUUCCUAUUGAUCAGAGCUGUUCAUGGCCCGGGUCACCUGAGUUUGGAGGCUGGAGGAUGGA